rnacentral:rRNA from 1 species
UACGUAGGGUGCGAGCGUUAAUCGGAAUUACUGGGCGUAAAGCGUGCGUAGGUGGUUCGUUGUGUCUGUGGUGAAAGCCCCGGGCUUAACCUGGGAAGUGGCCAUGGAAACUGGCGAGCUGGAGUGUGGCAGAGGGGGGUGGAAUUCCGCGUGUAGCAGUGAAUGCGUAGAGAUGUGGAGGAACACCGAUGGCGAAGGCAGCCUCCUGGGCCAACACUGACGCUCAUGCACGAAAGCGUGGGGAGCAAACAGG